rnacentral:tRNA from 1 species
GACGAAGUAGUUUAAUUUUAAAACGGCAGAUUGUGGUUCUGUAAAUAGUCAUGCCUUUUCGUUG